GGGGAAUAUUGCACAAUGGGGGGAACCCUGAUGCAGCAACGCCGCGUGAGUGAAGAAGGCAUUCGUGUCGUAAAACUCUGUAGUAGGGGAAGAAAGAAAUGACAGUACCCUAAAAGAAAGCCCCGGCUAACUACGUGCCAGCAGCCGCGGUAAUACGUAGGGGGCAAGCGUUAUCCGGAAUAACUGGGCGUAAAGGGUGCGCAGGUGGUUUAACAAGUUAGUGGUGAAAGGCAUAGGCUCAACCAAUGUAAGCCAUUAAAACUGUUUAACUUGAGUGCAGGAGAGGAAAGUGGAAUUCCUAGUGUAGCGGUGAAAUGCGUAGAUAUUAGGAGGAAUACCAGUGGCGAAGGCGACUUUCUGGACUGCAACUGACACUGAGGCACGAAAGCGUGGGGAGCAAACAGGAUUAGAUACCCUGGUAGUCCACGCCGUAAACGAUGAGUACUAGGUGUCGGGUGAAGAACUCGGUGCCGAAGUUAACACAUUAAGUACUCCGCCUGGGGAGUACGCUCGCAAGAGUA
rnacentral:rRNA from 1 species